rnacentral:rRNA from 1 species
CCAACUCGUAUUCGCAUCUGUGUGGCUGGGAACGGCUGGAAUGGGUUCUGCAAAGUCUCGUUCCGGCUACUUCCCAGUCGCAUGGGUGUUACUUGUGAGUAGAGUGCGCCGAAUCGGUUGGCUGUGCUGUUGGAUGGCUGAGAAGGAGCCCAACUUGUUGGAAGCUUUCCCUACCGGACAACAGAUGUGGCUAAUUGCAAUGGGAGUUGGUGAAUUCGCUGCUGCUGGCUGGAGUCUGGAUGGCGUUGGUGCGAUGCAUGCAUUUCGCCUUCACUGUCUGGAUUCUGAUCGGUGGCUGCUCGACUCCCCAUUCGGUGUCUAGUCGGUCACCCAUUUGACCCGUCUUGAAACACGGACCAAGGAGUUUAAGGUGUGCGCAAGUCAUUGAGCAGCAAACUCAAAGGCGCAAUGAAAGUGGGACACUCAGUGUCUGGAGCAUGAGUCGAGGUUGUCUAGACGGCCCGACGCAAUGUUGACCCAUGACUAGGACUUGUUCUGUUGUGGAGUCUGAGCGCACGCCUUGAGACCCGAAAGAUGGUGAACUAUGCCUGAACAGGACGAAGUCAGAGGAAACUCUGAUGGAAGUCCGA